CAUUAAAAAGCUUAAAGUAAGUGUUGAUCUUUUAAAUCAAUUAUGAUAAGAUCGCCUAUCUUUAAUGAAAGCUAGUUUAGCUUAAUUC
rnacentral:tRNA from 1 species